GUUAAAGAGCGAAAGAUGCAGCUUUCAGCGCGCGCGGCUUUCUCAAACCCUGACAAUAACCUGAUGCCUUCGACAAUAGGUAAAUAUCAUGCAUCUUGGCUUAGGAAGACACAUGAAGAUGUACCUGUGUGAUCUAGGAGCCAACAAUCAACAAUCGACUUAUACAGUGAGCUCUUCCGCCGCUGGCCCUAACCUCUACAUCCGCUGGCCAUCCAAUGACAGACAUCAUAGCUUCUUUUUUUAGUAAAAUGAGUAACGCUCCUCUACUGGACUAUGGGCUUCAGUCUCUGGCUCCUGCUACAGGUUAUGGGAUUACAGCUGGUCUGUCUUUGGCUACAGACACGGAGCAGAGCACCGCCUUGUGCUUUG